rnacentral:sRNA from 1 species
CAGAGGAUGAUAUGUAUAACGGACCUUGUUACGGAGAUGGCGGCGGCCCUUUAAUGUGUGGACCAAACAAUACAAACCUUGAGCUUGUUGGAAUAUUAUCUAUGGUAGAACCAACUUGUACACCUUCUCCACUCUCUGCUGUGUACAUUAACCUUCCUGCGUACCGGAAGUGGUUGUCAGAUAAAUUGUAAACUUUUAUAAAGGCAAUGUAAUAAAAAUUUGACUUUCCUGAAG